rnacentral:misc_RNA from 1 species
CAUCCAGUUACUGCUGCGGCUUUGCCGAGGAACGCUUGCCCGCACCGCGUUGGCCACCCGCGACCGGAGCAGCCGCUUUUGCCGAGUAGGCGCGGAAGCGAAGACGGGAAGGACAACUGUAGGCCAGCUGCGUCCCACCAAAGCAAUUGAAGACUUGUGCGCGCAAGCACACGCGCACACCAACAACUUGAUCAUGGAUGCCGGUUCUGUCUUGGACAACCUCCUCGAGCGCCACCGCGGCUUUGUCGCCGCACCAGAGCACGCGAAACUGGCGAAAGUCGUCCGCCGGCGCCAUGGAUCGACGUCUUCAGCAUUGCCGCCGUCGAAGAUGGUGGAGGCUGUGGAGCGAGGAGUGAAUCCGCUCAUGCUGGGGGUGCAGGCCCACAAGGCAGAGUCUGCCGCACGCGAGAAGGCGAAGGCAAGGAGGAAGGGGUCGGAGCUUGACGCAUCCCACAGGCCCUCAGAGCCGCCGGCGCGGCCAAGGACUGCGUCCUCGAGCCCCCGCAAGACCUCUAACCAAUCAAGAAAUGCGUCAGCCUGUGCCGUAACGGUGCUCCAGACGCACACGCAACUCCCAGCGGUACCGGCGGCUAGAGAGAUUCAGCGGGCACGCGAAGUGGCGGUUUCUGCAACUCUCACGUCACGCUACCAAGAGCUGCGUGCUAAGCGGCAGCAGGAGGAUGAGGAGCGCAAACGCAGCCGCUCUGACACCGCGUCCGUACUGCACAGUGCCGCCGCAGGCGCCGGUAGCGAAGGCGAGAAGAGUGCACACAAACGUGUACGGACGGAGGAGAAACGGCUGCCUCCGCAGGGGCUCCCCUUGCAGAUGAUUACUUCCACCACGGUUUCUCGAACCCGGAGAGAUUUCUGGCGACGGCGGUGUACGACGCGAAAGAUUCUGCGGCUCGCGCGUGGGAUCUCGCGGGCCUCAGCGUUGAGGCGCUACUGGUACACAACUCUCUCCGGCGACAAGGCGGGGGCUGGUGAUUGCGGUAGUUUCGCACGAGCCACGCACGCGGGGCACACUGGUGAUGAUAGUGGAAGAGGCGAAAAUGAGGAAGGGGCUGCAACAGCGGCACGUGCGUCGAAGGCUGCGUCAAAGCCAACGCCGGAGCCACUCGGACGUUCCACCCCGCCGUUGUCGGUGUUUGCAUUGAAUGACACCACAGAGAAGCGUUGUGCCCUCCGUCGUCUCCGCGCCGCUCGCCGCAGCGUCAACGACGCGCAUGGCAGCACCCAGAUGUCUAGUAAGCGGGGCGACGUCAUGGCAGACUCGAAAGCUGCAGCUGCGACGCCUGAAACCGUCCAGCUGCCGGUAGCGACGGCACAAUCGGCUGCCGACCGCACUAGAUCCUCGCGCACGAGUCGCCGCCAGCGCAAGCAGGCUAUUCGUUGCGUUCUCAGCUUCUCCGUGGCGAGCAUGUGGGCACUGGCGGCCCGCAUCGUCGCAGAGAGGCUGGGCACCGUUUCUCAGCUUCGCCUCGAGUGUAUGGGCGCCACAGUGCCGGCAUCGGCGUUGGCGGCGCGCAGCGAAGGAGCGGGUGUGCUGCCUCUCUCUCUCGCCCGCUUGUUCCCGCUGUUUGGCGCGCUUGUGGAGGUGCAAGAGCUGGAGCUCAUGACAGCGCCGGUGCGCUUGCGCAGCUCUCGAAAUGCGCGUCGCGCCCGCUUCGCGUCAGCCGCCGGCGGCGAAGGUGCCCGUGGCGCGCCGGAGCUACGCGUUUUACAGCAACGCAAGGGUAUUGUGAUGGAGGAGUACAGCGAAACACUGGGUGUUCUGUUGCUGCCUCCCCAGUGCGGGGCCGAUAUGCAGGCUUGGACAGAUGAAGUUACAAGGGUGCUUGCACAAGGACAAGACACCUCAGCGUGCGCGAGCAGGGGUGACGAAGCAGCACCGCUACUACGCGUGAAGUCGUCGCCCAGUAUUGUUCGAGUGCCCAAACACUUCCCCGGGGCCUCUGGCAGCUUUGUGGAGCUGCUGCAACGGCUUCUACUGCGCACUCCUACCACACCCUCCACUAGCCACGGCGGCAGAGAGCCGACACCGAUUGCUUCGACGGUGACGCGCGCACCAGCCACUCCUCUUGCGGGCCUGCGUGUGCUGGUGGCCGUGUUCUGCGGGGAGGUGCACGCGGCAGCUGAGGGCUGUAAUGUCGCAGCCCGUCACGCUCAUCGUGGUGAAGAGGGCCCGCCGGUGGCUGCCGAAGGCAGCAGGGCCGAUGCGUACCCGCUUCAUCGCCUGCUGCAUCGUUGCUUGUGAGUGCAACGCAGGCAUGAUAUCACUGAGCUGCUGCGAGUCGCCCUGCACAGAUCCCCAUCGCGAACAGCGCGCAAAACGAGUAGGGACUGUGAGGGGGAGGGGGAAGGCCGCGAACGGAGCAGGAUCGGAUAUUGCGGCGUCGGCAAACUGUUGGCCGGACUUAUAUCUCCAGUUGUGUGUGCGCCGCCUUGUCUGGACAUGUGAUGUUUGCUUGUGAGGGAGGCGAAGCGGGUGUUGCACUUUUCUACCUCGCUGCUGCUGCUGCCGCCACAUCGUCCUCUUCCCUUUCCUUCUUUACCCUCUGCCUGCCUCUGCUCAAGAACGUUUUAAACGGAUAAGAUCCACACGAAGCAAACAACGAACCUCACACAGAGCGGAAGACAUAUAGCGGCCCUUAUUUCUGUCCUCUCGGCAGUUCGGAAAGUGCGCAGAUUUGAAUCUGCAGUCGAGCGCGGCAGAGGUGCAGCCGACGACGAGCCGCCGUCCUCCACGGACGACAUAUGAGACGCGAGCAGUCAUGCACCCUGUUGCCCGGUUGACGGAUGCGUGCUACCGCGUUACGAGAGUGACGGCUUGCCUGCUUCAUUCCGCCUCAAAUACCUUUUCAGACGUGUUGUCUGUACAACCUCUAGUCUGCUGCCCCCUCCCCCCACCCCACCCGCUUUCCCACCUUUCAUUGACUGUUGCUUCUCCUCCUCAACAG